CUGAGCUUAGGGACCAGGCCCGGACUGGCAACCUGUGAACUCGGGCAAUUGCCCGUGGGGCCGCUCUAUUUCCUGUUCAAGUGGGCCGCUCUUGAACAGAGAGAUAAGUUGUGUUUUUCCCCCUCCGUUGCCUUGAAUGAAGGCAAGAGUAAAAAAAACGGCAGACCAAUAGGGCAGGACAGAGUUAAAUGCGGCCCAGCUUGAACCGCUCGGUUGCCUGUAUAAUUAGGAGAGAGAGAGACUCUGCUGCUCUGCUCUGUGACAGCACGCCCCCCUCCCCCUGGACUGUGUGCUUGGCUGGACUGUGUGCUUGAAUAGGAGCGUCACAGCUCAUCAUGUGACUCGUCGCCUCUCUGCAUUGUAAUCCGUCGGCAUGUGAGCUCCUGGGAAGAGGGCUGCCAUCAGGGGGUACAAGUGUACCGGGCCCAGGCCUGAAGGGGGGCCCUGACGUGCUGAACUCUUCGAAAGAGCCGGACCCCCCUUGACAGCACCGAAGCCGUGCCGCCUCCUUCCGAAGUCCCGAACAGCCGAAAUGCGUAAGUGCAGAAAAGUCAAACAGGCGAAGUCCCGAAGCGGCAAAAAGACCCAAAGCCACGAAAACAGGCGAAAUUGAAGUCCUGAAACGGCGAAAAGACCCGAAUUCACCAAAGGAGGCGAAGUUGAAGUCCUGAAGCCAUGAGUUCAAUUCCUCUCAACACCAAUGAGAGGACAGAAAGAGGACCAUGUAACUGCAGCUGUUCAAGCUAGAAGAGGAACAUAAAGAAUGACUCCAACUCCUGGAUUUUAUUCUGACCCUGUCUGCCCCAAACUGAACAUUCUUGCCUUCUCAAUUAAUGUCAGAACCAGUGCUGGGCUUGGACUGGCCUCAACAGCUCAGGGAAAAAAACCAGAAUGAAAAUAAAGGAGAAGCACUAUGACAAGCAGGAGCCCCUGUACCGGUUCUCUAGUUCUACUUAUAUGCACAUCGUUGGCUGCUAACAAAUGAACUGAUUGAGCCAGCUAAUUUACAUGGAUUUGUAUAGACUCAUGAGAUUGUGAGUUCUAUAUUUUGCACUCACAGUGCUACAUGCACCUAUACAGCCAUUACUGCCAGUGGAGGCCCAUGGGCCAUGUGCAAGCUCUGAACUACCUUGUUAUGUUUCCCCCACCAAUGCCCCAUUCAUCAACCUUUCUGAACACUGAAUAAUUUCCUUCUCCCCCCCCCUUGUGUGGGUGUGUGUGUGUAUGUGUGGGGCUGUGUGUUUUGCAACAUUUACACAAGAUUUAGUUCUUUUUUUUACACCAUGCAGACUCUUCAAAUCUCAGUUUGUCCCACCCCUGACUGUUCAAAUAACCUAAACAUAAGAUCCUGUAUGACCAGAUGGUUAAACUAAUUUACUUAGCAGUGUAAUACAAAGAUUGACUGACAGGUAUUGGGUGUAUAUAAUGUAUACCAUUAACAUGUAUCUGUUUAUAUGUUUGUAACUGUUUUCAGAACCAGGGCUGCAUAAUUUACCUCAUAACAUGCUAUGCUCCUUUGGACAAGAUUUGGUGUGAAGCAUCCUCGGUCAAUUUUGAUGUAGGAUGCAUUCCUGAAAACAAAAAGGGUAGUUGUUACUUGA